UACAGAGGCCUCAAGCGUUAGGCGGAAUCACUGGGCUUAAAGCGUGUGUAGGCGGGUCGUUAAGUACCUUGUGAAAUCCCACGGCUUAACUGUGGAACGGCUUGGUAUACUGGCGAUCUUGAGCCACUUAGGGGCUACCGGAACAGAUGGUGGAGCGGUGAAAUGCGUAGAUAUCAUCUGGAACGCCAAUGGUGAAAACAGGUAGCUGGGAGUGUGCUGACGCUAAGACACGAAAGCCAGGGGAGCGAACGGG
rnacentral:rRNA from 1 species